rnacentral:misc_RNA from 1 species
AACGCACAUUGCGCCCGCCAGCACUCUGGCGGGCAUGCCUAUUCGAGCGUCAUUUCACCCCUCGGGCGCCCCUCGGCGGCCGGCGUUGGGGGCCUGCAGCGCGCUGCAGCCCCUGAAAUCCAGUGGCGGACCGCCGCCGGAUCCCGAGCGCAGCACGGCUAACCCCCCCUCGCUCCGGGCUUCCAGCGGUCUCCGGCCGUAAAACCCCCUCCUGAGUCCUACAGGUUGACCUCGGAUUAGGUAGGAAUACCCGCUGAACUUAA